rnacentral:rRNA from 1 species
CGGUAGAGUCUCUUCGGAGACUUGAGAGCGGCGCACGGGUGCGGAACACGUGUGCAACCUGCCUUUAUCUGGGGGAUAGCCUUUCGAAAGGAAGAUUAAUACCCCAUAAUAUAAGAAACGGCAUCGUUUUUUAUUGAAAACUCCGGUGGAUAGAGAUGGGCACGCGCAAGAUUAGAUAGUUGGUGAGGUAACGGCUCACCAAGUCUGCGAUCUUUAGGGGGCCUGAGAGGGUGAUCCCCCACACUGGUACUGAGACACGGACCAGACUCCUACGGGAGGCAGCAGUGAGGAAUAUUGGACAAUGGGUGAGAGCCUGAUCCAGCCAUCCCGCGUGAAGGACGACGGCCCUAUGGGUUGUAAACUUCUUUUGUAUAGGGAUAAACCUACCCUCGUGAGGGUAGCUGAAGGUACUAUACGAAUAAGCACCGGCUAACUCCGUGCCAGCAGCCGCGGUAAUACGGAGGGUGCAAGCGUUAUCCGGAUUUAUUGGGUUUAAAGGGUCCGUAGGCGGAUCUGUAAGUCAGUGGUGAAAUCUCACAGCUUAACUGUGAAACUGCCAUUGAUACUGCAGGUCUUGAGUGUUGUUGAAGUAGCUGGAAUAAGUAGUGUAGCGGUGAAAUGCAUAGAUAUUACUUAGAACACCAAUUGCGAAGGCAGGUUACUAAGCAACAACUGACGCUGAUGGACGAAAGCGUGGGGAGCGAACAGGAUUAGAUACCCUGGUAGUCCACGCCGUAAACGAUGCUAACUCGUUUUUGGAGCGCAAGCUUCAGAGACUAAGCGAAAGUGAUAAGUUAGCCACCUGGGGAGUACGAACGCAAGUUUGAAACUCAAAGGAAUUGACGGGGGCCCGCACAAGCGGUGGAUUAUGUGGUUUAAUUCGAUGAUACGCGAGGAACCUUACCAAGGCUUAAAUGGGAAAUGACAGGCUUAGAAAUAGGCUUUUCUUCGGACAUUUUUCAAGGUGCUGCAUGGUUGUCGUCAGCUCGUGCCGUGAGGUGUUAGGUUAAGUCCUGCAACGAGCGCAACCCCUGUCACUAGUUGCCAUCAUUAAGUUGGGGACUCUAGUGAGACUGCCUACGCCAAGUAGAGAGGAAGGUGGGGAUGACGUCAAAUCAUCACGGCCCUUACGCCUUGGGCCACACACGUAAUACAAUGGCCGGUACAGAGGGCAGCUACACAGCGAUGUGAUGCAAAUCUCGAAAGCCGGUCUCAGUUCGGAUUGGAGUCUGCAACUCGACUCUAUGAAGCUGGAAUCGCUAGUAAUCGCGCAUCAGCCAUGGCGCGGUGAAUACGUUCCCGGGCCUUGUACACACCGCCCGUCAAGCCA